UUUUAAUACCCAUUUAAAAGAGUUGUCACAUGUCGAAACCCGCUUUCGCGAGAAAAAGGGGUGUGACACCGCCGUUGCUGCUACAAAUGUGACUGUGGUGGAGGUAAUGUUGCCACUAACAAAGAAAAGGAGGAGCGAAAAAUGUCGAGUUGGCCGAUCAGCCGGAACAAACAAUUUCGGACAUAGUGCCAAAAGAGUUGAGGAAAGAUAAUAAUUUCAACAUCAAGGAGAACACUAGAAGGCAGGUCUCCGUGUAAAACUUCCCAACUCUUAUAACAAAUCAUAUCUUCCCUAUUGAUUAAAGGGACUACAGGUAGGAGAGCAGGACGAAUCUUUUCCUGGACUCCCUCGAGGGGAGGAGAGGAUUACAUGUCACCGCGUGGGAACUCAUUCAUUAGGACGUAUCCCUUCUUGAUGGGCUUUUCCCUUAUGGUGGACAAGAUCGUGGAUAAGUUUUGCUUCAAUUACCAGUUGUGCCUUGCACUAAUAGACCCUCAGGUAUGGAUCUUGGUGAUGGUCCGUUGACACUUGGCUUCCAAGGUUGAUGUCCCUUCUACAUACUAGCAUUUACUUCAUCUGUACUCUCCCAAUAUCUACCGAGGGGCAUGAUUAAUAUGACGUAGCAGGGUUCGAAGGCUCUCAUCUUGGACUAUGAGAAUUACUUCGAUAGUUGGUGGUGUGAACGAUACGUAGUCAUCCAAACCAAUUUCCUUUGGCCGGGCACGAAGACCCGGAGAAAUGGAGUUUUACCCGUAAAUCUUUCUGUCUUUUUCACUUUCCUGGAUUAAAUUAGAGAAGACCUUUUUACCACGUACUAUAUUGUUCAGCUACUGUGGUGGAGGUAUAAGCGGCGGAGGUAUAAGCGGUUCUGGACAUAGAGGAUUGGGUAUCCAAGAUCUUAAGGGGUAUCCACCGAAAUUUCUAGGUCAUGGAAAAUUAUAGAGGCCUACCUAGGAGGUUUUCGAGAGAAGUAUCAUGGUGAUACUUCUUUAAGUUUAAAACUUCAUUUUUCUCCUUCAUCUUUGUUGUGUCUAACAUAUGCAGAUUUACAUAGGUGUGGGGGUUAAUAAAAGACCAAAGCCUUGGGUUGGUUCUGUAGAAGAGGUGUCUUGGUUGAUUCGAGAACUGAUCCUCACGAUUUUGGAGAAUGUUCUUUUGAAACCAUCUUCCUCCGGUUCUUCAAAGAGGAAGCGUAUUUCUGAGAAAAAGUCCCAGCCAUUUGGGUUAGGAGAGGGUGCCACUCGAUCCAUUCCACCGACUAUUUAUGAUGGUGUUAUCGGAUGAUAAAUGUAUACCGACCCCAUCCAAGUUGACUUUGGGGAGGAAACCACUAUUAUUUCAUUUGUAGGGGUUAUUCCAUAGGGAGGCCUGGUGGCAGAGGCCACGAUAGAUAUAAUUUCGAAUGAGGGUAUGCUGAUAAGGUGACUUCUCUCAUCUAAGGAGAGAGUUAUGGUUCCCUCAAGUGAGCGAUAGGUUCUGCCUUUCCAGACUGUCCCUUCUACUGAAGAGGCGAGUUCUCGAGAAGGUUACAAUGAGGUGGCUUUGUCGGCUCAUGACGGUCCCCUUGUUCCUAUAGAGAAGACUUCUGAUUGCCGUCAUAUCAAUUAUCGGUGCCAAGCUGGGUCAAAAAAUUCAAGGAGCCCAAGCACAUUGCCGCUCAUCUUCCUUAGAUAGCGAGUCCCCAAGACAGAAACAGAUAGAGUCUAUGAGUGAUGAGGCAAUGGUGACGCAAAUGGCUAAUGAAGCUGUAAGGAUCACAGUGCUCAGUUCGAGGACUUUAAAGAGGGUUUGAGAGGAUGCCACUAGGUCCAAGGAAGUAGUAAAGUAUGACCGGACAUUGAGGGUCGAGCUCCAGAAGCUCAAAGAAUAGAAGGGAUCACUCUUGGCCAGGACCAAAGCCGCAGAGAGGAGCGCUGAAAAGAGAAUGGCCAAUUUUUGAAAAGUGAGGCAGCUCUACUGGCUGAAUGCUCUAGGGCCAAUGGUAGGCUUUUUUCCCUCCAGGUCGAUCUGGUCUUUAAGGCCGAUGAGGAGGUUUGUCUAAUGGAAGAGUGUUCCCGUUUAUCAGUUGAGAUUUAGAGGCUAAGGUCGGAGUUGGCCCUGACUGAGGAGAUAGUCCAGGCCAAUAAUGUCGAUUGUGAGACCAUUCAAAUGGACUUCAAGAACUUGCCAAAACAAGCACCCUAUGAUCCUGGGCCAUUAUUGAAACCCGCUUGCACACCCUUCACGAAGUUCGCACUAGUGCGGUUGAUUUUCAACUUGAGGUUCCUCAAUUAGAGGAAUUGGCUCGAUGACUUGGUAUCCCCUCUCCAGAUAUGCGAUGUCUUACUUCCUAUGAAGAUGAAAAUGUGGAUGAUGUUGAAGAUGAUGAAGUGGAGGAGUGACUCCUAUCCCCGACCUAUCGGCCCCUGCUGGUUUUGUUGAUCUGAAUACCCUUACUUCCGGCACAAAUGCCAGCGAUUAGUUAUAGUAUUGGGGCUUUGGAUCUUUGUACUUAUUUUGUAUUUUCUUUUUAGGGUCUUCUGUAUAAAAGUUAUAUUUAACAUGAUCUUUUCUCUUUUCCAUUCCUUCGAGUA